rnacentral:rRNA from 1 species
AGCAGUUUGAUCCUGGCUCAGGAUGAACGCUAGCGGCAGGCUUAACACAUGCAAGUCGAGUAUAGUUCUUCGGAACUAGAGACCGGCGCACGGGUGCGUAACGCGUAUGCGGUCUACCUUUCACAGAGGGAUAGCCCAGAGAAAUUUGGAUUAAUACCUCAUAGUAUUAUAGAGUGGCAUCACAGACUAUAAUUAAAGUCAUAACGGUGAAAGAUGAGCAUGCGUCCCAUUAGCUAGUUGGUAAGGUAACGGCGAUGGCAACGAUGGGUAGGGGUCCUGAGAGGGAGAUCCCCCACACUGGUACUGAGACACGGACCAGACUCCUACGGGAGGCAGCAGUGAGGAAUAACUGAAUGGGCGCAAGCCUGAUCCAGCCAUGCCGCGUGCAGGAUGACGGUCCUAUGGAUUGUAAACUGCUUUUGUACAGGAAGAAACACUGGUUCGUGAACCAGCUUGACGGUACUGUAAGAAUAAGGACUAACUCCGUGCCAGCAGCCGCGGUAAUACGGAGGAUCCAAGCGUUAUCCGGACAAUCAUUGGGUUUAAAGGGUCCGUAGGCGGUUUAGUAAGUCAGUGGUGAAAGCCCAUCGCUCAACGGUGGAACGGCCAUUGAUACUGCUAAACUUGAAUUAUUAGGAAGUAACUAGAAUAUGUAGUGUAGCGGUGAAAUGCUUAGAGUAGCAUGGAAUACCAAUUGCGAAGGCAGGUUACUACUAAUGGAUUGACGCUGAUGGACGAAAGCGUGGGUAGCGAACAGGAUUAGAUACCCUGGUAGUCCACGCCGUAAACGAUGGAUACUAGCUGUUGGAAGCAAUCUACGUGGCUAAGCGAAAGUGAUAAGUAUCCCACCUGGGGAGUACGUUCGCAAGAAUGAAACUCAAAGGAAUUGACGGGGGCCCGCACAAGCGGUGGAGCAUGUGGUUUAAUUCGAUGAAGCGCGAGGAACCUUACCAAGGCUUAAAUGUAGAUUGACCGGUUUGGAAACAGACUUUCAGCAAGACAAUUUACAAGGUGCUGCAUGGAUGUCGUCAGCUCGUGCCGUGAGGUGUCAGGUUAAGUCCUAUAACGAGCGCAACCUACCUGUUGUUAGUUGCCAGCGAGUCAUGUCGGGAACUCUAACGAGACUGCCAGUGCAAACUGAGAGGAACCGGUGGGGAUGACGUCAAAUCAUCACGUUACGCCUUGGGCUACACACGUGCUACAAUGGCCCCUACAGAGAGCAGCCACUGGGUGACCAGGAGCGAAUCUAUAAAACCGGUCACAGUUCGGAUCGGAGUCUGCAACUCGACUCCGUGAACGAGGAAUCGCUAGUAAUCGGAUAUCAGCCAUGAUCCGGUGAAUACGUUCCCGGGCCUUGUACACACCGCCCGUCAAGCCAUGGAAGCUGGGGGUGCCUGAAGUCGGUGACCGCACCGCUGCCUAGGGUAAAACUGGUAACUAGGGCUAAGUCGUAACAAGGUAGCCGCAA